AGUGAACGCUGGCGGUAGGCCUAACACAUGCAAGUCGAACGGCAGCACUGUAAGAGCUUGCUCUUACGGGUGGCGAGUGGCGAACGGGUGAGGAAUACAUCGGAAUCUACUUUUUCGUGGGGGAUAACGUAGGGAAACUUACGCUAAUACCGCAUACGACCUACGGGUGAAAGCAGGGGAUCUUCGGACCUUGCGCGAUUGAAUGAGCCGAUGUCGGAUUAGCUAGUUGGCGGGGUAAAGGCCCACCAAGGCGACGAUCCGUAGCUGGUCUGAGAGGAUGAUCAGCCACACUGGAACUGAGACACGGUCCAGACUCCUACGGGAGGCAGCAGUGGGGAAUAUUGGACAAUGGGCGCAAGCCUGAUCCAGCCAUACCGCGUGGGUGAAGAAGGCCUUCGGGUUGUAAAGCCCUUUUGUUGGGAAAGAAAAGCAGCAGGUUAAUACCCCGCUGUUCUGACGGUACCCAAAGAAUAAGCACCGGCUAACUUCGUG
rnacentral:rRNA from 1 species